rnacentral:rRNA from 1 species
UGCCAGCCGCCGCGGUAAUACGUAGGUGGCGAGCGUUAUUCGGAUUUACUGGGCGUAAAGAGUUCGUAGGGGGUUUGGAAAGUUUGAUGUGAAAGCCAACGGCUUAACCGUUGAAUUGCAUUGAAAACUACCAGACUAGAGUUUGUGAGAGGAGAGUGGAAUUUCUGGUGUAGCGGUGGAAUGCGUAGAUAUCAGAAGGAACACCAAAGGCGAAGGCAGCUCUCUGGAAUAAUACUGACCCUGAGGAACGAAAGUUAGGGUAGCAAACAGGAUUAGAUA